CGGACGGGUGAGUAACGCGUGGGUAACCUGCCUCACACUGGGGGAUAACAGUCAGAAAUGACUGCUAAUACCGCAUAAGCGCACAGUACCGCAUGGUACGGUGUGAAAAACUCCGGUGGUAUGAGAUGGACCCGCGUCUGAUUAGGUAGUUGGUGGGGUAACGGCCUACCAAGCCGACGAUCAGUAGCCGACCUGAGAGGGUGACCGGCCACAUUGGGACUGAGACACGGCCCAA
rnacentral:rRNA from 1 species